rnacentral:rRNA from 1 species
CGUAGGCGCGAGCGUUGUCCGGAUUCACUGGGCGUAAAGGGCUCGUAGGCGGCCUGUCGCGUCGGCUGUGAAAGUCCGGAGCUCAACUCCGGGAUUGCAGCCGAUACGGGCAGGCUAGAGGGCGGUAGAGGGAGUGGAAUUCCCGGUGUAGCGGUGAAAUGCGCAGAUAUCGGGAGGAACACCAGUGGCGAAGGCGGCUCCCUGGGCCGUCCCUGACGCUGAGGAGCGAAAGCGUGGGGAGCGAACAGGAUU